GGUUCCAUAGUGUAGCGGUUAGCACGUCUGCUUUACACUCAGAAGAUCCUGGGUUCACGCCCCAGUGGAGCCA
rnacentral:tRNA from 1 species